GAUGAAGAACGUAGCGAAAAGCGAUACUUGGUGUGAAUUACAGAAUCCCGUGAACCAUCGAGUCUUUGAACGCAAGUUGCGCCCGAAGCCACUAGGCCGAGGGCACGCCUGCCUGGGCGUCACAGGUCGUUGCCCCCCCCCAUCUACUCCUUCGGGAUUGCGGGGGGCGGAUGAUGGCCUCCCGUGCGCCUAGCCGCGCGGUUGGCAUAAAUACCAAGUCCUCGGCGACGCACGCCACGACAAUCGGUGGUUGCGAAACCUCGGUUGCCCGUCGUGUGCGUUCGUCGCGCAUCGAGGGCUCGAAAAAAUGCUCGGCUCCGGCUCGGCUUUCAACGCGACCCCAGGUCAGGCGGGGUUACCCGCUGAAUUUAAGCAUAUCAAUAAGCGGAGGA
rnacentral:misc_RNA from 1 species